rnacentral:tRNA from 1 species
AUAUCGAUGGUUCAAUGGUAGAAUCCUUGCCUUCCAUGUGAGAGGCCUGGGUUCGAUUCCCAACCAAUGCA